GCCUGGCUGGCUUAGUCAGUAGAGCAUGUAACUCUUGAUCUCAGGGUCAUGAGUUCAAGCCCCAUGUUGGGCG
rnacentral:tRNA from 1 species